CGGGUGAGUAAUACAUAGGAAUCUACCCAGUAGUGGGGGAUAACUUGGAGAAAUCCAUGCUAAUACCGCAUAUGUCCUACGGGGCAAAGCAGGGGACCCUCGGGCCUUGCGCUAUUGGAUGAGCCUAUGUCGGAUUAGCUAGUUGGUGAGGUAAAGGCCUACCAAGGCGACGAUCCGUAGCUGGUCUGAGAGGAUGAUCAGCCACACUGGGACUGAGACACGGCCCAG
rnacentral:rRNA from 1 species